rnacentral:rRNA from 1 species
CACAUGCAAGUCGAACGGUAACAUUUCUAGCUUGCUAGAAGAUGACUAGUGGCGGACGGGUGAGUAAUGCUUGGGAACUUGCCUUUGCGAGGGGGAUAACAGUUGGAAACGACUGCUAAUACCGCAUAAUGUCUUCGGACCAAACGGGGCUUCGGCUCCGGCGCAAAGAGAGGCCCAAGUGAGAUUAGCUAGUUGGUAAGGUAACGGCUUACCAAGGCGACGAUCUCUAGCUGUUCUGAGAGGAAGAUCAGCCACACUGGGACUGAGACACGGCCCAGACUCCUACGGGAGGCAGCAGUGGGGAAUAUUGCACAAUGGGGGAAACCCUGAUGCAGCCAUGCCGCGUGUGUGAAGAAGGCCUUCGGGUUGUAAAGCACUUUCAGUUGUGAGGAAAAGUUAGUAGUUAAUACCUGCUAGCCGUGACGUUAACAACAGAAGAAGCACCGGCUAACUCCGUGCCAGCAGCCGCGGUAAUACGGAGGGUGCGAGCGUUAAUCGGAAUUACUGGGCGUAAAGCGCACGCAGGCGGUUUGUUAAGCUAGAUGUGAAAGCCCCGGGCUCAACCUGGGAUGGUCAUUUAGAACUGGCAGACUAGAGUCUUGGAGAGGGGAGUGGAAUUCCAGGUGUAGCGGUGAAAUGCGUAGAUAUCUGGAGGAACAUCAGUGGCGAAGGCGACUCCCUGGCCAAAGACUGACGCUCAUGUGCGAAAGUGUGGGUAGCGAACAGGAUUAGAUACCCUGGUAGUCCACACCGUAAACGCUGUCUACUAGCUGUGUGUGCCUUUAAGGCGUGCGUAGCGAAGCUAACGCGCUAAGUAGACCGCCUGGGGAGUACGGCCGCAAGGUUAAAACUCAAAUGAAUUGACGGGGGCCCGCACAAGCGGUGGAGCAUGUGGUUUAAUUCGAUGCAACGCGAAGAACCUUACCUACACUUGACAUGCUGAGAGUUACUAGAGAUAGUUUCGUGCCUUCGGGUACUCAGACACAGUGCUGCAUGCUGUCGUCAGCUCGUGUCGUGAGAUGUGGAUAAGUCCCGCACGAGCGCACCCUUGUCUAGUGCCAGCUUAGUGGGCACUCUAGAGACUGCGUGACAACCGGAGAAGGUGGGACGACGUCAGUCAUCAUGGCCCUACGUGUAGGCUACCACCGGCUACAAUGGCAUUACGAGGGAGCGAGACCAUUUAUUGACGAACCCUUAAAAAGUGUGUUUAUCCCCGGGAUGGAGGCUUCCGGCCUCCCUACGA